CUGACGCAGCAACGCCGCGUGGAGGAUGAAGGUCUUCGGGUUGUAAACUCCUGUCGACCGGGACGAAUGUGCCCGGGCUGAAUACCCCGGGGGAGGGACGGUCCCGGUGGAGGAACCCCCGGCUAACUCCGUGCCAGCAGCCGCGGUAAUACAGAGGGGGCAAGCGUUGUUCGGAAUUAUUGGGCGUAAAGGGCGCGUAGGCGGCCGCUUAAGUCGGAAGUGAAAUCCCCUGCUCAACCGGGGAACUGCGUCGGAAACUGCGGGGUUCGAGUCCGGGAGAGGGAUGUGAAUUCCUGGUGAAGCGGAGGAAUGCCUAAAUAUUGGGAGAAGCACCGGGGUCGAAGUGGUCCCUGGACGGAUUCUGACCCUGAGGACAAAAACCCAGGGGACCAACGCGUUUAAAUUCCCCGGUAGCCCCGGCUGAAAACAAAGA
rnacentral:rRNA from 1 species